AUUGAACGCUGGCCAUGCCUUACACAUGCAAGUCGAACGGCAGCACGGGUGCUUGCACCUGGUGGCGAGUGGCGAACGGGUGAGUAAUACAUCGGAACAUGUCCUGUAGUGGGGGAUAGCCCGGCGAAAGCCGGAUUAAUACCGCAUACGAUCCACGGAUGAAAGCGGGGGACCUUCGGGCCUCGCGCUAUAGGGUUGGCCGAUGGCUGAUUAGCUAGUUGGUGGGGUAAAGGCCUACCAAGGCGACGAUCAGUAGCUGGUCUGAGAGGACGACCAGCCACACUGGGACUGAGACACGGCCCAGACUCCUACGGGAGGCAGCAGUGGGGAAUUUUGGACAAUGGGCGAAAGCCUGAUCCAGCAAUGCCGCGUGUGUGAAGAAGGCCUUCGGGUUGUAAAGCACUUUUGUCCGGAAAGAAAUCCUUGGCUCUAAUACAGUCGGGGGAUGACGGUACCGGAAGAAUAAGCACCGGCUAACUACGUG
rnacentral:rRNA from 1 species